rnacentral:rRNA from 1 species
CCUACGGGUGGCUGCAGUGGGGAAUAUUGCACAAUGGGCGCAAGCCUGAUGCAGCCAUGCCGCGUGUGUGAAGAAGGCCUUCGGGUUGUAAAGCACUUUCAGCGGGGAGGAAGGCGGUGAGGUUAAUAACCUCAUCGAUUGACGUUACCCGCAGAAGAAGCACCGGCUAACUCCGUGCCAGCAGCCGCGGUAAUACGGAGGGUGCAAGCGUUAAUCGGAAUUACUGGGCGUAAAGCGCACGCAGGCGGUCUGUCAAGUCGGAUGUGAAAUCCCCGGGCUCAACCUGGGAACUGCAUUCGAAACUGGCAGGCUAGAGUCUUGUAGAGGGGGGUAGAAUUCCAGGUGUAGCGGUGAAAUGCGUAGAGAUCUGGAGGAAUACCGGUGGCGAAGGCGGCCCCCUGGACAAAGACUGACGCUCAGGUGCGAAAGCGUGGGGAGCAAACAAGAUUAGAUACCCGUGUAGUC